rnacentral:lncRNA from 1 species
AAGGAACUUGCCUACCAAAUCUUUCUUGGAUAAGAAUGAGAGAAAGUAAAAUUCAUGUAAACAACUUCAUGAGACAUUAGCAUUAUUCAGGUCCUUUCAACAUCUGCUAAAUUUUCCUCUGAACAAUGUUGAACGAAAGACAGUUGUGGAGGUGAUGAGAGUAACAAGAAUUAAAACUAAGGACCUGCAUCCUAGCUUACCCCUAAUACAAGAGUGGUUUAACCUUUGUAUAAGAAGGUUAAAAACUGAUAUAUAAUGGAGCUCUCCCAAAUCCAGAACAAUAUAUAUAUAUAGGCAAGUUUCGGAAUAAAUAUAUAACAGGGCGAAUAUUCAUAUCCAAAGAUAUAUAGUUAUUGCAAAAAAAAAAGAAAAGCAGUUUUGGAAAAGAUAAAGAACUAAAAUGACAAUAUAGCAGCAUAAGCACAAAACAUGAAAUAAUAUAAAGAGCCACACGAGAAGCUUACAGCACACGAAACACGGAAGCGCAUGUUGGCUCGCCGCAAAUGAAUUGAUGGAAAACUUUUCCUUUGGGCAGAAAAGGACAGAGAUUUCAAUCCAUUAAUUCCAUUAACUUCCUGCUCAACAAAUAACAAGAAAAUCUCACCUUAAACAUUAAAUAACCAAUUGAUAGGCAGGAAAUUUUACAGAGCAUUAGUAAGAGAUCAUCCGGCGUCACCACUAUAAUUUCUUUUUUCAUGGUUUUCAUCAAGAGAGUCUCAGUUCGACAAUACAGCUCGCAAUAAUAUGGAACACAAAAAGAAGAGAAAUGCAAUUUCAGCAAUAUACAGAUUUGCAUUUCAGACUAACUUGCACAUGUCGCAUAUAUUUUCUGCAUUUCAUAAUACUAACUUUAUAUUCCUUUUGUUCACACAUACUUGCAUAAAAUAGAAACAACAAUUAUUUUAAGUCCAUAAAUCCCUAGCUCAAAUACUUCUUCCUUUAUUUUUAUUUAUUUAUUUAUUUAUUUUCAACCUCCAGGUGAGUCCUAGGUGGUCAUAUUUCAUAAUUACGCAAACACAAAACAAAAGCCAAAAACCAAUUUCCAAUGUAAAUUUGUCAUUGUUCUCUUAACAAUGAGACCAAAAUUUCAACUUAGAACAUGUAUUUAUUUCCCUGAAAAAAAAGAAAAGAAAAAUGAUCACCUAGAUGAUCAUUUCUCUUUUAUCAACACCAGUUAUAGCCAAAUUCUACAUAGUUGAGUAAGAAAGAGCUGUAAAAGCUCCUCGACACUAGCAACUACUCAACGAUCCACACAAUCCACAUAGAACGCCGCACUAUAUCGAUAAAACCAUCAAAUUUCACACAUACGAAAAAACACUUCAAAUCAUCGAACCAAAACACCAUGCAAGCUUCACCUUUGAUUCUAACCACAAUCAGAGCACCUCUAAGAACCAAUAUCCACAGAAUCCACAAAAUUAUACAACAUAGGCGCAAAUUUCUCAAAAAUCGAAUGAUGAAGUUCCAAAUUCGAUCAAUUACGUACAGAAACUCAUCAAAUUGGAAACUACAAAGGCGAGAGAGAUUACAGGGAUCGAUCAUUACCACUCUCCUCGGUGCGAAUUGAGGCGGAGCCGCGAUCGAGAUCCCCGAUCUCGCAACGAAAGCCAUCGAUCGAAUCGAUCGGGAUCGAAAUCGAGAGAGAUCGAGAUGGAUCGCGAGAGAGAGAGAGAGAGAGCGAGAGAG